UACGUAGGGGGCUAGCGUUGUCCGGAUUUAUUGGGCGUAAAGAGCGUGUAGGCGGCCAGGUAGGUCUGGUGUGAAAACUCGAGGCUUAACCUUGAGAUGUCAUCGGAAACCAUUUGGCUAGAGUCCGGAAGAGGGAAGUGGAAUUCCUGGUGUAGCGGUGAAAUGCGCAGAUAUCAGGAAGAACACCAAUGGCGAAAGCAGCUUUCUGGGACGGUACUGACGCUGAGACGCGAAAGCGUGGGGAGCGAACAGG
rnacentral:rRNA from 1 species